GAUGAACGCUGGCGGCGUGCCUAAUACAUGCAAGUCGAGCGAACGGACGAGAAGCUUGCUUCUCUGAUGUUAGCGGCGGACGGGUGAGUAACACGUGGAUAACCUACCUAUAAGACUGGGAUAACUUCGGGAAACCGGAGCUAAUACCGGAUGAUAUUUUGAACCGCAUGGUUCAAAAGUGAAAGACGGUCUUGCUGUCACUUAUAGAUGGAUCCGCGCUGCAUUAGCUAGUUGGUAAGGUAACGGCUUACCAAGGCAACGAUGCAUAGCCGACCUGAGAGGGUGAUCGGCCACACUGGAACGGAGACACGGACCAGACUCCUACGGGACGCAGCAGUAGGGAAUCUUCCGCAAUGGGCGAAAGCCUGACGGAGCAACGCCGCGUGAGUGAUGAAGGUCUUCGGAUCGUAAAACUCUGUUAUUAGGGAAGAACAUAUGUGUAAGUAACUGUGCACAUCUUGACGGUACCUAAUCAGAAAGCCACGGCUAACUACGUG
rnacentral:rRNA from 1 species